rnacentral:rRNA from 1 species
AACGAACGCUGGCGGCAUGCCUAACACAUGCCAGUCGAACGAACCCUUAGGGGUGAGUGGCGCACGGGUGCGUAACACGUGGGAACCUGCCCUUAGUUUCGGAAUAACCGUUAGAAAUGACUGCUACGACCGGAUUACGUCUUCGGACCAAAGAUUAAUCGCCUUUGGAUGGGCCCGCGUAGGAUUAGCAAGUUGGGGAGGUAAAGGCUCACCAAGGCGACGAUCCUUAGCUGGUCUUAGAGGAUGAUCAGCCGCACUGGGACUGAGACACGGGACAGACUCCUACGGGAGGCAGCGGUGGGGAAUAUUGGACAAUGGGCGAAAGCCUGAUCCAGCAAGGCCGCGUGAGUGAUGAAGGCCUUAGGGUUGUAAAGCUCUUUUACCUGGGAUGAUAAUGACAGUACCAGGAGAAUAAGCCCCGGCUAACUCCGUGCCAGCCGCCGCCGUAACAC